GACGAACGCUGGCGGCGUGCUUAACACAUGCAAGUCGAACGGAAAGGCCCUGCUUUUGUGGGGUGCUCGAGUGGCGAACGGGUGAGUAACACGUGAGUAACCUGCCCUUGACUUUGGGAUAACUUCAGGAAACUGGGGCUAAUACCGGAUAGGAGCUCCUGCUGCAUGGUGGGGGUUGGAAAGUGUCGGCGGUUGGGGAUGGACUCGCGGCUUAUCAGCUUGUUGGUGGGGUAGUGGCUUACCAAGGCGUUGACGGGUAGCCGGCCUGCGAGGGUGACCGGGCACAUUGGGACUGGGAUACGGCCCAGACUCCUACGGGAGGCAGCAGUGGGGAAUAUUGCACGAUGGGCGGAAGCCUGAUGCAGCAACGCCGCGUGCGGGAUGACGGCCUUCGGGUUGUAACCCGCUUUCGCCUGUGACGAAGCGUGAGUGACGGUAAUGGGUAAAGAAGCACCGGCUAACUACGUG
rnacentral:rRNA from 1 species